UGAACCAUGGUUAAUGAACAUUGGUCCGUUCAAAGUGCAAUGGUCUUGACCAUGAUUUACC
rnacentral:pre_miRNA from 1 species